GGGUUGUGAGGUUAAGCGACUAAGCGUACACGGUGGAUGCCCUGGCAGUCAGAGGCGAUGAAGGACGUGCUAAUCUGCGAUAAGCGUCGGUAAGGUGAUAUGAACCGUUAUAACCGGCGAUUUCCGAAUGGGGAAACCCAGUGUGUUUCGACACACUAUCAUUAACUGAAUCCAUAGGUUAAUGAGGCGAACCGGGGGAACUGAAACAUCUAAGUACCCCGAGGAAAAGAAAUCAACCGAGAUUCCCCCAGUAGCGGCGAGCGAACGGGGAGCAGCCCAGAGCCUGAAUCAGUGUGUGUGUUAGUGGAAGCGUCUGGAAAGGCGCGCGAUACAGGGUGACAGCCCCGUACACAAAAAUGCACAUGCUGUGAGCUCGAUGAGUAGGGCGGGACACGUGGUAUCCUGUCUGAAUAUGGGGGGACCAUCCUCCAAGGCUAAAUACUCCUGACUGACCGAUAGUGAACCAGUACCGUGAGGGAAAGGCGAAAAGAACCCCGGCGAGGGGAGUGAAAAAGAACCUGAAACCGUGUACGUACAAGCAGUGGGAGCACGCUUAGGCGUGUGACUGCGUACCUUUUGUAUAAUGGGUCAGCGACUUAUAUUCUGUAGCAAGGUUAACCGAAUAGGGGAGCCGAAGGGAAACCGAGUCUUAACUGGGCGUUAAGUUGCAGGGUAUAGACCCGAAACCCGGUGAUCUAGCCAUGGGCAGGUUGAAGGUUGGGUAACACUAACUGGAGGACCGAACCGACUAAUGUUGAAAAAUUAGCGGAUGACUUGUGGCUGGGGGUGAAAGGCCAAUCAAACCGGGAGAUAGCUGGUUCUCCCCGAAAGCUAUUUAGGUAGCGCCUCGUGAAUUCAUCUCCGGGGGUAGAGCACUGUUUCGGCAAGGGGGUCAUCCCGACUUACCAACCCGAUGCAAACUGCGAAUACCGGAGAAUGUUAUCACGGGAGACACACGGCGGGUGCUAACGUCCGUCGUGAAGAGGGAAACAACCCAGACCGCCAGCUAAGGUCCCAAAGUCAUGGUUAAGUGGGAAACGAUGUGGGAAGGCCCAGACAGCCAGGAUGUUGGCUUAGAAGCAGCCAUCAUUUAAAGAAAGCGUAAUAGCUCACUGGUCGAGUCGGCCUGCGCGGAAGAUGUAACGGGGCUAAACCAUGCACCGAAGCUGCGGCAGCGACACUAUGUGUUGUUGGGUAGGGGAGCGUUCUGUAAGCCUGUGAAGGUGUGCUGUGAGGCAUGCUGGAGGUAUCAGAAGUGCGAAUGCUGACAUAAGUAACGAUAAAGCGGGUGAAAAGCCCGCUCGCCGGAAGACCAAGGGUUCCUGUCCAACGUUAAUCGGGGCAGGGUGAGUCGACCCCUAAGGCGAGGCCGAAAGGCGUAGUCGAUGGGAAACAGGUUAAUAUUCCUGUACUUGGUGUUACUGCGAAGGGGGGACGGAGAAGGCUAUGUUGGCCGGGCGACGGUUGUCCCGGUUUAAGCGUGUAGGCUGGUUUUCCAGGCAAAUCCGGAAAAUCAAGGCUGAGGCGUGAUGACGAGGCACUACGGUGCUGAAGCAACAAAUGCCCUGCUUCCAGGAAAAGCCUCUAAGCAUCAGGUAACAUCAAAUCGUACCCCAAACCGACACAGGUGGUCAGGUAGAGAAUACCAAGGCGCUUGAGAGAACUCGGGUGAAGGAACUAGGCAAAAUGGUGCCGUAACUUCGGGAGAAGGCACGCUGAUAUGUAGGUGAAGCGACUUGCUCGUGGAGCUGAAAUCAGUCGAAGAUACCAGCUGGCUGCAACUGUUUAUUAAAAACACAGCACUGUGCAAACACGAAAGUGGACGUAUACGGUGUGACGCCUGCCCGGUGC
rnacentral:rRNA from 1 species